rnacentral:lncRNA from 1 species
AAAUACUCAACACAUUAAAUAUAACAAGAAUAUCAUACAGAACAUUUACAUAAAAAAAAUAUUUAACAAAAUCAAAGUACAAGUAUGAAAUUACUAACUACAUAUAAUUUUUAAUGUCUAAAUUACUAAGCACUUAAUCUACAACUCGCAAUUAAUCUAGGACUCAUAAUUUUUCUUCAAGCUCUUGAUCAAAAAGCAACUCCAUUGUACAUUGGAAGAGUUGAACAUUGGUUAACCAUCGUGACAACUUUUUCAAUGACUCCUGCCAAGAUAAAAGAAACAAGAUAUUAGUCAACAUACACAAUUUAACAUAUUUUAAGGUACAAAUAACAAAGUUAAAAUAACAUAUUUUAACAUAUAGGGGAUGAAUAAAUUAAAGACUUCAGAUGAGGGGAUGAGUCGAAUAAAGACUUGACAAGGACUUGGUAUAUAGAAAAAUCAGUACACACGAAUCAUAUUAUUGGGAGUUCAUGAUAGUAUGUAGAAUUUAGUUUACGAGAGUCUUUAUUUCUAGCAAUUCUCCCAAAAAAAGGUAGGAACCCAAAGGACAAUACAAAGUAGUAGCCUGAACCUAAUCAGCCCAGCUAAUUAAUAUAGGGGGAAAAAAUACUUAUCCACUAAACAGCAAGGCAAAAUGAAACUGACUAACUGAGACAUAAAGAGGAAGAAAAGCAGACCAUUAGGAAACUAAAAUAUAAAGGGGAAACUGGAUAAAGAUGAUUCCAGUUGAAGAAAGCAUUAAGGACAAAAGACAAUCAGAGUCACAUUUCAAUGUUAAAAUUCAUACACACUUAAGUAUAAUAAUGAGUUUUCCAAUCAGAGGAUUAUGUCAAAAAAUAGUUCAAGUUUAGAGUUGAUGGUUAGUAGUAAAAAUGAUGGAAAACGGAAUAAAACCAGACUGCAGCUUUUUACCUCUGAUGAUCUCCAUCGCAGCUGAGCAAGCAGAUAAUCUUUAGCAGUUCACUGAUCCGUUCCCUUCGAUUCUGCAACAGUAAUUCUAAAUCAACUAAUUAAAAGCAAGCAUUCUUGAUAAUUUUGGUCAUGGAUGAGUAGUGAAACCUUAGCUGCAACACUUUGUGGAUCUUUGGAUUCUGCUGCAGCCUUGGGUUUCGCCUUUCUCUCCCUGCAACAACCAACCAAAUUCAACCUCUCUCUUUAAACUCCAACGAUUCCAACGGACCUAUAGAACGCGGUGCUGCGUGUUCUAGCCUGGAGGCGUGCGGCGGCUGAUGGAGCAGAGCGGCGUGCGGCGGUACUAGAGUGCAGAGCGGCGGGCGACGCUAGGGCGCAGAGCGGCGGGCGACGCGCGGCUCCAGGGUUUCGAUCCCUAGUGAAAAGGUGAAAGUGGAGAUGGAAUUAGCGUGAAUUACACUUAGGUUAAUUAGUAGUGGAAGCCAGAGAGUUUUGGUGGGGAUGUGAAGUGGAG